rnacentral:rRNA from 1 species
AUUGAACGCUGGCGGCAGGCCUAACACAUGCAAGUCGAACGAGUGGCGGACGGGUGAGUAAUGUCUGGGAAACUGCCUGAUGGACGGGGAUAACUACUGGAAACGGUAGCUAAUACCGCAUAACAUAAGAUGGGCCAAGAUGGGAUUAGCUGGAUGGGGGGGUAAAGGCGCACCAAGGCGACGAUCCCUAGCUGGUCUGAGAGGAUGACCAGCCACACGGUACCUUAGACACGCGCCAGACUCCUACGGGAGGCAGCAGUGGGGAAUAUGGCACAGUGGGCGCAAGCCUGAUGCAGCCAUGCCGCGUGUAUGAAGAAGGCCUUCGGGUUGUAAAGUACUUUCAGCGGGGAGGCGUUACCCGCAGAAGAAGCACCGGCUAACUCCGUGCCAGCCGCCGCGGUAAUUC